rnacentral:rRNA from 1 species
GUGCCCUACGGGGCGCAGCAGUGAGGAAUAUUGGUCAAUGGCCGAGAGGCUGAACCAGCCAAGUCGCGUGAGGGAUGACGGCCCUACGGGUUGUAAACCUCUUUUGUCGGGGAGCAAGACCCGCCUCGUGCAGGCGGAGCGAGAGUACCCGAAGAAAAAGCAUCGGCUAACUCCGUGCCAGCAGCCGCGGUAAUACGGAGGAUGCGAGCGUUAUCCGGAUUUAUUGGGUUUAAAGGGUGCGUAGGUGGUUAAUUAAGUCAGCGGUGAAAGUUUGUGGCUCAACCAUAAAAUUGCCGUUGAAACUG